rnacentral:rRNA from 1 species
GUGUCAGCAGCCGCGGUAAUACGUAGGGCGCAAGCGUUGUCCGGAAUUAUUGGGCGUAAAGAGCUCGUAGGCGGUUUAUCACGUCGGCUGUGAAAUCCCGAGGCUUAACCUCGGGCCUGCAGUCGAUACGGGUUGACUAGAGUGAAGCAGGGGAGACUGGAAUUCCUGGUGUAGCGGUGAAAUGCGCAGAUAUCAGGAGGAACACCGGUGGCGAAGGCGGGUCUCUGGGCUUUAACUGACGCUGAGGAGCGAAAGCGUGGGUAGCGAACAGGAUUAGAAACCCGCGUAGUCC